AAUAAGAUGUUGUGAUUUUUUUAUUUUAUUUGCAGAUAUCCUGUUUUCCUCGUUUUACAAAGACAACUCAGUGUCGAGGGAACUGAAGACUGGGGUGUGCUGGGCUAACACAAAUUUAACUGAAGCCAAGAAUGCCCUGGUUUGGCUCUGGAAAGAGUACUAAGCAGCCAAGGACAUUUGGAAGGCCAAAUCUAAACCAGGACGAUGUUUUGCUCAGCCCGUUCCCUGCUUCUGUUAGAUCAAUGCUGACACCAGAGAGACCAUUGGAGACAUAAGGUGGCACGUUGUCUUCUGCCAUAAAGUUUGCGGCAAAGCCACACAAGCAGCCACUCUGACAGCAAAGACAGUGGUGGGGCUAAGGAUCCAGGGACUGGCCACACCAGGAUGUGCUAAAGAGCUGCUGUAAAAUAACUAGGAGAAACACCAGCUUUAGAGGGUAAAAUUGCCAUACCACUGCUUGAACAACUGGG
rnacentral:lncRNA from 12 species